rnacentral:rRNA from 1 species
AGUGAACGCUGGCGGUAGGCCUAACACAUGCAAGUCGAACGGCAGCACAGUAAGAGCUUGCUCUUACGGGUGGCGAGUGGCGGACGGGUGAGGAAUACAUCGGAAUCUACUUUUUCGUGGGGGAUAACGUAGGGAAACUUACGCUAAUACCGCAUACGACCUACGGGUGAAAGCAGGGGAUCUUCGGACCUUGCGCGAUUGCAUGAGCCGAUGUCGGAUUAGCUCGUUGGCGGGGUAAAGGCCCACCAAGGCGACGAUCCGUAGCUGGUCUGAGAGGAUGAUCAGCCACACUGGAACUGAGACACGGUCCAGACUCCUACGGGAGGCAGCAGUGGGGAAUAUUGGACAAUGGGCGCAAGCCUGAUCCAGCCAUACCGCGUGGGUGAAGAAGGCCUUCGGGUUGUAAAGCCCUUUUGUUGGGAAAGAAAAGCAGCAGGUUAAUACCCCGCUGUUCUGACGGUACCCAAAGAAUAAGCACCGGCUAACUUCGUG